CGAUGGAACACACUCGUGUGUGAUUUUUUUCAGGUAAACUCCAACUGCCCAGAGCUCGAUUUAACAUCAAGAACAGACCCUGAAUGGCAGCUUGUGUUCAGAGGAAUGGCAGGGAGAGGUGUGAAGCUUUACGACCUGUGGACUGUCUCAUCGUGGGGUGUGAGAGUGAGGGCAUCCAGUGGGAGUUACCGCGAUGACUCGUUGUACGGGGCUUGGAAGAGCGGAAACCUGACCGUGAGGCGGGUGAAAUUGUCUUUGUUCGAACUCAAACUGUGUAAAGCCCAACUGAUUUUCGAUGGAACCGGAUCAGAUAUCCUAAACUGGUUCACCAAGGAUCGCCUCAUCUCAAGCCCGUGGGAGGACCUGGAAUCAACCUCGACUAAUUUCUUUGGCAUAAAGGGGCACGC